GAAAUGGCAAACCUGUUGAAAGAUGGGGACGCAAAGCCACAGGCCUAAAGCGAAAGUUGUUAUGGCGGCUGGGUUACCGAA
rnacentral:ncRNA from 1 species